AUGGACGGGGGAGGAAGUGGAGUUUGGCAGCGGGUUCGCGGAAGGACUGAAAGAGCUCCUCUCCUGCUAUGAAUAGACACAGAGACACAAAGCAUGGCUCACAAAGCUCCACGGCACACCGGCCCUGAACCCAAACAGCCCCACGCCGACUCGACUCUCCUCGCCUCACCGUGCAACCCACAACAUUGGCUAGCCAUGGUCUCAUCUCUGCAGACAGGGGAAAACACUUGUCACAUCUCCAGGCACAUGUAAACCCAUCCAUGUGCGAACUGAGGAUAUUAAAGACAGAUGAAGACAUGAAAGGGGAGAGCGAG